rnacentral:rRNA from 1 species
GGAAUUUUGCGCAAUAGGCGAAAGCCUGACGCAGCAACGCCGCGUGAGGGCUGAAGGCCUUCGGUUUGCAAACCUCUUUUCUCAGGGAAGAUGAUGACGGUACCUGAGGAAUAAGCCCCGGCUAACUACGUGCCAGCAGCCGCGGUAAUACGUAGGUGGCGAGCGUUGUCCGGCUUUACUGGGCGUAAAGCGCGCGCAGGCGGUUGGACAAGUCGCGUGUGAAAGCCCCCGGCUCAACUGGGGAGGGUCACGCGAUACUGUCCGGCUCGAAGGCAGGAGAGGGAAGUGGAAUUCCCGGUGUAGUGGUGAAAUGCGUAGAUAUCGGGAGGAACACCAGUGGCGAAGGCGACUUCCUGGCCUGUUCUUGACGCUGACGCGCGAAAGCUAGGGGAGCAAAC